GAUGAACGCUGGCGGCGUGCCUAACACAUGCAAGUCGAACGGACAUUUUUUGGAAAGCUCUUCGGAACUGGAAUCUAAAUGUUAGUGACGGACGGGUGAGUAACGCGUGAGCAAUCUGCCUUUCAGAGGGGGAUAACAGCCGGAAACGGCUGCUAAUACCGCAUAAUGCAUUGGAUUCGCAUGUUUCUGAUGCCAAAGAUUUUAUCGCUGAAAGAUGAGCUCGCGUCUGAUUAGCUAGUUGGCGGGGUAACGGCCCACCAAGGCGACGAUCAGUAGCCGGACUGAGAGGUUGAACGGCCACAUUGGGACUGAGACACGGCCCAGACUCCUACGGGAGGCAGCAGUGGGGAAUAUUGCGCAAUGGGGGCAACCCUGACGCAGCAACGCCGCGUGAUUGAUGAAGGUCUUCGGAUUGUAAAAAUCUUUAAUCAGGGACGAAGAAAAUGACGGUACCUGAAGAAUAAGCUCCGGCUAACUACGUGCCAGCAGCCGCGGUAAUACGUAGGGAGCAAGCGUUAUCCGGAUUUACUGGGUGUAAAGGGCGUGUAGGCGGGCUUGCAAGUUGGAAGUGAAAUCUCGGGGCUUAACCCCGAAACUGCUUUCAAAACUGCGAGUCUUGAGUGAUGGAGAGGCAGGCGGAAUUCCCAGUGUAGCGGUGAAAUGCGUAGAUAUUGNGAGGAACACCAGUGGCGAAGGCGGCCUGCUGGACAUUAACUGACGCUGAGGCGCGAAAGCGUGGGGAGCAAACAGG
rnacentral:rRNA from 1 species